AUUGAACGCUGGCGGCAGGCCUAACACAUGCAAGUCGAGCGGAUGAAGGGAGCUUGCUCCUGGAUUCAGCGGCGGACGGGUGAGUAAUGCCUAGGAAUCUGCCUGGUAGUGGGGGAUAACGUCCGGAAACGGGCGCUAAUACCGCAUACGUCCUGAGGGAGAAAGUGGGGGAUCUUCGGACCUCACGCUAUCAGAUGAGCCUAGGUCGGAUUAGCUAGUUGGUGGGGUAAAGGCCUACCAAGGCGACGAUCCGUAACUGGUCUGAGAGGAUGAUCAGUCACACUGGAACUGAGACACGGUCCAGACUCCUACGGGAGGCAGCAGUGGGGAAUAUUGGACAAGGGGCGAAAGCCUGAUCCAGCCAUGCCGCGUGUGUGAAGAAGGUCUGCGGAUUGUAAGCACUUUAAGUUGGGAGGAAGGGCAGUAAGUUAAUACCUUGCUGUUUUGACGUUACCAACAGAAUAAGCACCGGCUAACUUCGUG
rnacentral:rRNA from 1 species